GACGGAGGAUGCAAGCGUUAUCCGGAAUGAUUGGGCGUAAAGCGUCCGCAGGUGGCCGUUCAAGUCUGCUGUCAAAGACCGGGGCUCAACCUCGGAAAGGCAGUGGAAACUGAACAGCUAGAGUAUGGUAGGGGCAAAGGGAAUUCCUGGUGUAGCGGUGAAAUGCGUAGAUAUCAGGAGGAACACCUGUGGUGUAGACGGCUUUCUGGACCGUAGCUGACGCUGAGACACGAAAGCGUGGGUAGCAAACGGG
rnacentral:rRNA from 1 species